GAGUUUGAUCCUGGCUCAGGACGAACGCUGGCGGCGUGCCUAAUACAUGCAAGUAGAACGCUGAAGGAGGAGCUUGCUUCUCUGGAUGAGUUGCGAACGGGUGAGUAACGCGUAGGUAACCUGCCUGGUAGCGGGGGAUAACUAUUGGAAACGAUAGCUAAUACCGCAUAAGAGUGGAUGUUGCAUGACAUUUGCUUAAAAGGUGCACUUGCAUCACUACCAGAUGGACCUGCGUUGUAUUAGCUAGUUGGUGGGGUAACGGCUCACCAAGGCGACGAUACAUAGCCGACCUGAGAGGGUGAUCGGCCACACUGGGACUGAGACACGGCCCAGACUCCUACGGGAGGCAGCAGUAGGGAAUCUUCGGCAAUGGACGGAAGUCUGACCGAGCAACGCCGCGUGAGUGAAGAAGGUUUUCGGAUCGUAAAGCUCUGUUGUAAGAGAAGAACGAGUGUGAGAGUGGAAAGUUCACACUGUGACGGUAUCUUACCAGAAAGGGACGGCUAACUACGUGCCAGCAGCCGCGGUAAUACGUAGGUCCCGAGCGUUGUCCGGAUUUAUUGGGCGUAAAGCGAGCGCAGGCGGUUAGAUAAGUCUGAAGUUAAAGGCUGUGGCUUAACCAUAGUAGGCUUUGGAAACUGUUUAACUUGAGUGCAAGAGGGGAGAGUGGAAUUCCAUGUGUAGCGGUGAAAUGCGUAGAUAUAUGGAGGAACACCGGUGGCGAAAGCGGCUCUCUGGCUUGUAACUGACGCUGAGGCUCGAAAGCGUGGGGAGCAAACAGGAUUAGAUACCCUGGUAGUCCACGCUGUAAACGAUGAGUGCUAGGUGUUAGACCCUUUCCGGGGUUUAGUGCCGUAGCUAACGCAUUAAGCACUCCGCCUGGGGAGUACGACCGCAAGGUUGAAACUCAAAGGAAUUGACGGGGGCCCGCACAAGCGGUGGAGCAUGUGGUUUAAUUCGAAGCAACGCGAAGAACCUUACCAGGUCUUGACAUCCCUCUGACCGCUCUAGAGAUAGAGCUUUCCUUCGGGACAGAGGUGACAGGUGGUGCAUGGUUGUCGUCAGCUCGUGUCGUGAGAUGUUGGGUUAAGGUCCCGCAACGAGCGCAACCCCUAUUGUUAGUUGCCAUCAUUUAGUUGGGCACUCUAGCGAGACUGCCGGUAAUAAACCGGAGGAAGGUGGGGAUGACGUCAAAUCAUCAUGCCCCUUAUGACCUGGGCUACACACGUGCUACAAUGGCUGGUACAACGAGUCGCAGCCGGUGACGGCAAGCUAAUCUCUUAAAGCCAGUCUCAGUUCGGAUUGUAGGCUGCAACUCGCCUACAUGAAGUCGGAAUCGCUAGUAAUCGCGGAUCAGCACGCCGCGGUGAAUACGUUCCCGGGCCUUGUACACACCGCCCGUCACACCACGAGAGUUUGUAACACCCGAAGUCGGUGAGGUAACCGUAAGGAGCCAGCCGCCUAAGGUGGGAUAGAUGAUUGGGGUGAAGUCGUAACAAGGUAGCCGUAUCGGAAGGUGCGGCUGGAUCACC
rnacentral:rRNA from 1 species